UACAGAGGGGGCAAGCGUUGUUCGGAAUUACUGGGCGUAAAGGGCGCGUAGGCGGCCUGCUAAGUCGAACGUGAAAUCCCCGGGCUCAACCCGGGAACUGCGUCCGAUACUGACAGGCUUGAAUCCGGGAGAGGGAUGUGGAAUUCCAGGUGUAGCGGUGAAAUGCGUAGAUAUCUGGAGGAACACCGGUGGCGAAGGCGGCAUCCUGGACCGGUAUUGACGCUGAUGCGCGAAAGCCAGGGGAGCGAACGGG
rnacentral:rRNA from 1 species